rnacentral:rRNA from 1 species
UUGCUAUUUGAUAUUUCUAGCGGCGGACGGGUGAGUAACGCGUGAGCAACCUGCCUUUAUCAGGGGGAUAACGCAUCGAAAGAUGUGCUAAUACCGCGUAAGACCACAGCCUCACAUGGGGCAGGGGUCAAAGGAGGAAUCCGGAUAAAGAUGGGCUCGCGUCCGAUUAGCUAGUUGGUGAGAUAACAGCCCACCAAGGCGACGAUCGGUAGCCGACCUGAGAGGGUGAUCGGCCACAUUGGAACUGAGAGACGGUCCAGACUCCUACGGGAGGCAGCAGUGGGGAAUAUUGGGCAAUGGGCGAAAGCCUGACCCAGCAACGCCGCGUGAGGGAAGAAGGGUUUCGGCUCGUAAACCUCUGUCCUAUGGGACGAAGGAAGUGACGGUACCAUAGGAGGAAGCCCCGGCUAACUACGUGCCAGCAGCCGCGGUAAUACGUAGGGGGCGAGCGUUGUCCGGAAUGAUUGGGCGUAAAGGGCGCGUAGGCGGCCUGCUAAGUCUGAAGUGAAAGUCCUGCUUUCAAGGUGGGAAGUGCUUUGGAUACUGGUGGGCUGGAGUGCAGGAGAGGAAAGCGGAAUUACCGGUGUA